CAAAUACAGGCUAAUAUAAUUGGAGCACAUUUCAGAUAGGAUAGGCUAAGCUAUGGUGUUCAGUAGGUCAGGUAUAUUAAAUGCAUUUUCAAUCUAUUUGAAUUUAUCAUGGGUUUAUUGAGAUGUAACCCUACUGUAAGUCAAGGAAGAUCUGUAUAAUUAAACUAGCCAAAGAGAAAGUAUCUUGAAAGCAGCAAGAAUAAAGAGACUCAUCACAUAAAAGAAUCUUCAUUAUGAUUAUCAGAUUUCUCAUCAGGUACCAUGGAGGCCAAAAAGCAGUGGUUUGAGAUAGCAAAGUACUAAAAUAAAAACUGUCACCUAAAACUUCUAUCUGGCAAAACUGUGAUUCAGGAAUGAGGGAGAAACAUAGCCAGACAAAAGUUGAAGGAGACCGAUAAAACUGUUAGGGAGUUCCCACUGUGGGUCUGCAGGUUACAAACCUGACUAGUGUCCAUGAGAAUUCAAACUCGAUCCCUGCCCUCGCUCAGUGGGUUAAGGAUGGGCGUUGUCAAGAGCUGCAGUGUAGGUCACAGAUGAGGUUGGGAUCCCAUGUGGCUCUGCUGGCCUACACCACAGCCACAGCAACUCGGGAUCCAAGCUGUGUCUUGACCUACACCACAGCUCACAGCAAUGCCAGAUCCUUAACCCAGUGGGUGAGGCUAGGGAUUGAACCCACAACCUCAUAGUUCCUGGUGGGAUUCGUUUCUGCUGUGCCAUGAGGGGAAAUCCCCCUGAAAUUGAUUUUUAAUAAACAAUCAUAACAAUCUCCAAGAGACUGACUACAGUUCCAAAUAGGUUAAAAGUAAAAGGAUGAAUAAAUAUAUUGCAUGCAAAUAAUAAUUAAAAAGAGAGUAGUAUAUAAUAAUUGGACAAAUAGACAUAACUUCUUUGGAUAUAGAGAGACAGAAAAGGACAUUUUAUGUUAAAAGAUUUUAUACAAGAAAGAGGUAACGGUUGGAAACAUACACAUCUAAUAACAGAUCCUCAAAAUAUAUUAAGCAAAACAUCACAUAUAAAACGUAUGGGAUGCAGAAGAAGCUGUACUAAGAGGGAAACUUCAAGCUUAAGUCCUUGCCUUCAAAAAACAAAAAACAAAAACCAAAAUCUAGACUUCCCCUGUGGCCCAUAGUAUACUACUUGUGAUUGUCUCUGCAAUGGCUCUGGGAACAUCCAUAUGCUGUAGGUCCAGCCACAGCUAUAAAAAAAAAAAGAAUCUGAAAACAUUCUAACUUUAACUAGAAAAAGAAUGGACUAAAUCCAAAGGUAGUAGGAGGAAGAUUAAAACUAAGAAAAAUACAGAAUAGAAAAUCAAUGGAAAACUUUGAACCCAAAGCUAGUUCUUUGAAAAUGUUAACAAAGUGGACAAACCUUUAGAUCAGUAAUAAAAGAAGACAAAAACAGAAAUAAAAGGGGCUUUACUAAAAAUUCCAUAGAAAUAAAGAGGACUAUGAGCAGUUGUACACAAGUUGGAUAACCUAGAUGAAAUGGAUGUAUUUCUAAAAAUACAAAAACAACCCUACCAAGACUGAUUCUUGAAGAAAUAAAAAAUCUACAUUGGAGUUCCCGUCGUGGCGCAGUGGUUAACGAAUCCGACUAGGAACCAUGAGGUUGAGGGUUCGGUCCCUGCCCUUGCUCAGUGGGUUAACGAUCCGGCGUUGCCGUGAGCUGUGGUGUAGGUUGCAGACGCAGCUCGGAUCCCGCGUUGCUGUGGCUCUGGCGUAGGCUGGCAGCUACAGCUCCGAUUCGACCCCUAGCCUGGGAACCUCCAUAUGCCGCGGGGGCAGCCCAAGAAAUAGCAAAAAGACAAAAAAAAAAAAAAAAAAAUCUACAUAGACCUAUAUAGCUAGGAAGGAGACUGAAUCAGCAACCAAAAAGUCCACAAAACCCCUGCAACCUCUGGCUUUAUUUUAUUUUACCAAAUGUUUAAAGAAAAAAUAACAUGAGUUCUCAGACUUUUCAAAAAAAUAUUCAACAAGAGGAAACACUUCCUAAUCCACUGUAUAAGGCUGGUAUUACCCUGAUACCAAAGCCAGCCAAUGACUACAUGAGAAAAGAAAGCUUGGAGUUCCUGCUGUGGUAUAGCAGGUUAAGGAUCCAGCAUUGUCUCUGCAGCAGCUUGGGUCACUGCUGAGGUGUCAGUUCAAUCCCUGACCCAGUGCAGUGGGUAAAGGAUCCACUGUGGUCACAGCUGUAGCUUGAAUUCAAUCCCUGGCCCAGGAAUCUCCAUGUGUUGGAGGUGCGGGAAUAAAAAAGGAAGCUAAAGACCAAUAUCCCUGAUGAAUAUUGAUACAGAAAGUAUUAGCAAACUGAAUUCAAGAACACAUUAAAACUUUUAUACAUUUUGAACAAGUAGAUUUACUGUUGCAACGAAAAGAUGAUUCAACAGAUAAAAAUCAAUCAAUGUAAUAAUACAUUACAAUAGCAGAAUGAAGGAAAAUCCCACAUGGCUCACAUCAGUUGAUGCCGAAAAAGCAUUUGACAAAAUUCAGCCUUUUUGAUUAAAAUUUAAAAAACUCAACACAUUAGGAAUUGAGGGAAACUACCUCAAAAUAAUCAAGGCCACAUAUGAAAAUUUUACAGUGGGAGUUCCCGUUGUGGCUCAGCAGGUUACGAAGCUGACUAGUAUCCAUGAGGAUGUGGGUUCAAUCCCUGGUCUUGCUUAAUGAGCUAAGGAUCUAGUGUUGCCACAAGCUUCAGCGUAGGUCACAGAUGUGCCAUGGACCCAAUGUUGCCAUGGCUGUGGCAAAGGCUGGCAGCUGCAGCUCUGAUUCAACCCCUAGCCUGGGAACUUCCAUAUGCCUCAGGUGCAGUUCUAAAAAGAAAAAUAAAUAAAUAAAUAAAAUCUUAAAGCUAACAUCAUAAUCACUGGAGGAAUGAAAGCUUUUCCUCUUAACAUCAGGAACAACACAAGGAUGCAGCUUUGCUACUGCUAUUCAACAUGGCAUUCAAGGCAGAGCGAUUAGUCAAGAAAAAGACUGAAAUUGGAAAAGAAAAAGUAAAAUCAUUUCUGCAGAAUGCAUGCUAUCCUACACUAAUGCCCCCCCCCACACACAAAUUUUGUUUGAACUAAGGAACAAAUUCAGCAAAGGAUACAGAAGCAACAUAUAAAAUUGGUUGCCUUUCUAUAUACUAACAUGAACAAUCCAGGAAAGAAAUUAAAAUAAGUCCCUUUAUAAUAUCAUUAAAAACAAUAAUAUACAUAGGUAUUAAUGAAUAAAGCAAAAGAUUUGUACACUGAAAACUACAAACAUUGCUGAAUGAUGUUAAAGAUGACACCAAUAAACAUAUCUCAUGUUCAUGGACUGGAAAACAAUAUCUGUAUGAUGUCAAUACUACCCAAAGUGAUCUCCAGAUUCAAUGUAAUCCUCUUCAAAAUUUCAAUGACAUAUUUUAUAGAAAUAGAAAAAUACUUCAUAAAGUUCAGCAGAAUGUGAACUUUAACCAAAGCAAUCUUCAAAGUUGGAAGGUUCAUACUUCCUGAUUUCAAACUUUACUGCAAAGCUACAAUAAUCAAAACAGUGUGGUACUGAAUACAGACAGACAUAGAGAUCAGAGGCAUAGAAUAGAGAAUCCAGAAAUCCUCACAUAAAUGGUUAAAUGAUUUGGGGGAAGUAUGCUAAGGCCAUUUAAUGGGAAAAGGAUAGUGUUUGCAAUAAAUGGUGUUGGGAAAACUGGAUAUCCACAUGCAAAAUAAUGAAGUUGGUCUAUUCCCAAACACCAUAUACAAAAAUUAAUGGAUCGAAGGCAAAUGUAAGACUUAAAAACUCUACUCUUAGAAGAAAAUGGGGAAAUUUUCAGGACAUUGGAUUUGGCAGUGAUUUUUUUGGAUAUGACACAAAAUUCAAGGCAUCAAAAGAAAAAACAAACUGGACUUAAUCAAAAAUUACAACAUUUAUGUAUCAAAGGACGCUAUCUACAGACUGAAAAAAGCAUACCACAGAAUGAGUGAAAAUAUUUGCACAUCACAUAUCUGAUGAGGGAUUAAUAUAUAUUAAAAACUCCUAAAAUGCAACAACAGGAACUAAAGACAACCCAAUUCAAAACUGGGCAAAGGACUUGAAUAUUAAAUAGGUAUCCAAAGAACAUACAGAUAGCCAAUAGGACAUGAAAAGAUGCUCAACAUUACUAGUCAUUAGGGAAAUGCACAUCAAAAUCAAGAUGUAAUACCAUUUCAUAUCUAUUAGGGUAGCUAUUACUAUAAAAAGAAAGUGUUGACAAGGAUGUGAAGAAAUUGAAACUUGUGUACUCCUGCUGGGAAUAUAAAGUGGCGUAGCUGCUAUAUAAAACAGUAUGGCAAUUCCUCAAAAAAUUAAAUACAGAAUUAGCAUUUGAUCCAGCAGUUCCACUUGUGGGUAUUUAUACAAAAGAAAAGAAAACAGGAACUUGAACAGAUAUUUGCACAUCUGUGAUUAUAGGAGCAUUAUUUACAACAGCCAAAAGGUGAAAUGACUCAUGUUUAGUGAAAGAUGGAUAGGCAAAAUAUGGUAGAUAUGUACAAUGGAAUAUUAUUCAGUCAUAAAAAGGAAUGAAAUUUAGGUACAUAAAAUACUGCCAGUGAACCCUGAAGACAUAAGUGAAAUAAGCCAGGUACAAAAGGUCAAAUAUAUGAUUCUACUUAUAUUCAGAAUAUUCAAAUACUUAGAGAUAAAGCUGAUGUUGGCUAUUGGCAUCUGAGGGAAGGAG
rnacentral:lncRNA from 1 species